rnacentral:rRNA from 1 species
GACGAACGCUGGCGGCGUGCUUAACACAUGCAAGUCGAACGAUGACGACCGAGCUUGCUCGGUCUGAUUAGUGGCGAACGGGUGAGUAACACGUGAGCAACCUGCCCUUCACUCUGGGAUAACCUCGGGAAAUCGGGGCUAAUACCGGAUAUGAGCUCCUGUCGCAUGGCGGGUGUUGGAAAGUUUUUCGGUGAAGGAUGGGCUCGCGGCCUAUCAGUUUGUUGGUGAGGUAGUGGCUCACCAAGGCGAUGACGGGUAGCCGGCCUGAGAGGGCGACCGGCCACACUGGGACUGAGACACGGCCCAGACUCCUACGGGAGGCAGCAGUGGGGAAUAUUGCACAAUGGGCGAAAGCCUGAUGCAGCGACGCCGCGUGAGGGAUGACGGCCUUCGGGUUGUAAACCUCUUUCAGCAGGGAAGAAGCGAAAGGGACGGUACCUGCAGAAGAAGCGCCGGCUAACUACGU